UUACUGUGGAGGGACAUGCAGAUACACAAGACAGAGCAGUAACAGAGCAGCACUGUGUUAGAACAGGUUCUUACUGUGGAGGGACAUGCAGAUACACAAGACAGAGCAGUAAGUAACAGAGCAGCACUGUGUUAGAACAGGUUCUUACUGCGGAGGGACAUGCAGAUACACAAGACAGAGCAGUAACAGAGCAGCACUGUGUUAGAACAGGUUCUUACUGUGGAGGGACAUGCAGAUACACAAGACAGAGCAGUAACAGAGCAGCACUGUGUUAGAACAGGUUCUUACUGCGGAGGGACAUGCAGAUACACAAGACAGAGCAGUAACAGAGCAGCACUGUGUUAGAACAGGUUCUUACUGCGGAGGGACAUGCAGAUACACAAGACAGAGCAGUAACAGAGCAGCACUGUGUUAGAACAGGUUCUUACUGUGGAGGGACAUGCAGAUACACAAGACAGAGCAGUAUCAGAGCAGCACUGUGUUAGAACAGGUUCUUACUGUGGAGGGACAUGCAGAUACACAAGAAAGAGCAGUAACAGAGCAGCACUGUGUUAGAACAGGUUCUUACUGCGGAGGGACAUGCAGAUACACAAGACAGAGCAGGCACAUCUGGCUGUAUCGGAAGUUCUAAGUGAUCAAAAGCCAGCCAUCACAAAAUCUGGACGCAAAAUCAAAGGCAGGGGUACAAUGAGAUAUCACACUCCUCCUCGGUCAAGGUCUCGCUCACAAUCUCAAGAUGGUGAUGAAGAUGAGAAGAUCAGUGAAACCCCGCCUCACUGGAAAGAGGAAAUGCAGAGAACAAAAAUCUACCAGCCUCCCAGUGAAGAGAAGUGGAGUAAAGGGGACAAGCUGAAUGACCAUUACUCAAGCAGAUGGGAUGGCAAAAGUGCAUCCCCAUGGUCAAGGUCCCGGUCACAUGACGACUGCUCUGAUCACAGCACCGAGAGAUCCAGCCAAAACAGAAGACACAGAAAGGAAAAGAAGAGAUCAAAACACAGAAAGAAGUCUAAAAAGCAAAAGCAUUCAAAAAAGCUGAAAAUUCCUAAAACCAAACCAAAAACAGAUUCAACACCUCACAAGACUGUGUCGUCCCGUUCUUCAAGCAGGAAAUCGAAGCUUUCUAUUAAGCGUGAAAGAAGAUCUAGAUCUUGCACAAUAUCCUCAAGACAUUCCUCCAGACGAGACUGGUCAGGGUCUGACAAGAUCCGUCGUUCCUCACCAUUAUCCAGAAACUCUUCCUCCUAUUCCAGAUCAAAAAGCAGAUCAAGAUCCUAUUCUAGAAGCAGAAGUAGAUCAAGAACGAGGUCUAGAUCCUUGUCAAGGUCUAGAAGCAGGUCCAUAUCAAGAUCACAUAAGAGGACACCAUCGAGAUCACCUAGAAACACACGCUCAAAUGAGAACAAUAAAAGCCAAGUUGAUCCCCGUAGACAAAACACACAAACAAAUGAGAAUGUUUUACCAAAUGCUGUCUCUGAGAGUGUUCCUGCGUUACCCAUGAGUGAUAGCCCCCCACCUUCAAGGUGGAAACCAGGUCAAAAGCCUUGGAAACCUUCCUAUGUCAAUGUUCAGGAAAUCAAAGCCAAAACUCCAGCUCUACUUGCACAAUCGAGUUACACAGUAAAGAACAGCAAGGAGAAUUCCCGAUCUUCAUCGUACCACAACCAGCACAGACAUUCAGACAGCGAGAGAAGUGUUUACUCAAGCGAUAGGAGCUAUAACUAUAAGAGGAGGUCCAGGACCAGGUCUUGAAGAAGUAGAUCAUACAGGAGAUCGUACAGUAGAUCAAGAAGUAGAGAUUGUUCUAGCUCAAGAUCACGCACUCCAGUAAAGUAUCAUAGUCGUUCUUCAUCCUACAGCAGAUCCAACUCCUACAAUUCCUAUAAUUAUAAAACAAGGGCAAAAUCUAAUUCCAGAGAGAGAGGUGUCAAACAUUACAACGCAAUUCAAGAAAGUAGCCCUGAAGCUACAUUUGGUGACAGGUAUUUGGAUAACAGAAAAGAACUAAAAGGAGAAAAGGAAAAUCACAGAUUGUACUCCUCUGAGUAUUCUACCGACAGUGAAAGAAAUAAUGUGAAAAAAAAUAAAAAGCAUGAUGCGGUCUCAAAGAAGCAAAACAAUAAAUCGCAUUCUCAGUCGGAAGCCGACAGCAUUAAAACAUCUGAGCCAAAACAGAAGAAAUAUAAUACGAGUUCUUUUAGGGAGGAUCAGGUAUCAAAGUCCGGGUGGGACAGUGAUAGUGAUAAUUCAAAAAAAGAGCCAGGUGUUGAAGGCAGAUCAUCUGAAUUCCAGCAGCUCGAAUCCGGCAGGACCGAUGAAAAGACCAGCCCAGGUGUUGAAGGCGAAUCAUCUGAAUUCCAGCAGCUCAAAUCCGACAGGACUGAUGAAAAGACCAGCCCAGGUGUUGAAGGCAGAUCAUCUGAAUUCCAGCAGCUCAAAUCCGACAGGACUGAUGAAAAGACCAGCCCAGGUGUUGAAGGCAGAUCAUCUGAAUUCCAGCAGCUCAAAUCCGACAGGACUGAUGAAAAGACCAGCCCAGGUGUUGAAGGCAGAUCAUCUGAAUUCCAGCAGCUCAAAUCCGACAGGACUGAUGAAAAGACCAGCCCAGGUGUUGAAGGCAGAUCAUCUGAAUUCCAGCAGCUCAAAUCCGACAGGACUGAUGAAAAGACCAGCCCAGGUGUUGAAGGCAGAUCAUCUGAAUUCCAGCAGCUCAAAUCCGACAGGACUGAUGAAAAGACCAGCCCAGGUGUUGAAGGCAGAUCAUCUGAAUUCCAGCAGCUCAAAUCCGACAGGACUGAUGAAAAGACCAGCCCAGGUGUUGAAGGCAGAUCAUCUGAAUUCCAGCAGCUCAAAUCCGACAGGACUGAUGAAAAGACCAGCCCAGGUGUUGAAGGCAGAUCAUCUGAAUUCCAGCAGCUCAAAUCCGACAGGACUGAUGAAAAGACCAGCCCAGGUGUUGAAGGCAGAUCAUCUGAAUUCCAGCAGCUCAAAUCCGACAGGACUGAUGAAAAGACCAGCCCAGGUGUUGAAGGCAGAUCAUCUGAAUUCCAGCAGCUCAAAUCCGACAGGACUGAUGAAAAGACCAGCCCAGGUGUUGAAGGCAGAUCAUCUGAAUUCCAGCAGCUCAAAUCCGACAGGACUGAUGAAAAGACCAGCCCAGGUGUUGAAGGCAGAUCAUCUGAAUUCCAGCAGCUCAAAUCCGACAGGACUGAUGAAAAGACCAGCCCAGGUGUUGAAGGCAGAUCAUCUGAAUUCCAGCAGCUCAAAUCCGACAGGACUGAUGAAAAGACCAGCCCAGGUGUUGAAGGCAGAUCAUCUGAAUUCCAGCAGCUCAAAUCCGGCAGGACCGAUGAAAAGACCAGCCCAGGUGUUGAAGGCAGAUCAUCUGAAUUCCAGCAGCUCAAAUCCGGCAGGACCGAUGAAAAGACCAGCCCAGGUGUUGAAGGCAGAUCAUCUGAAUUCCAGCAGCUCGAAUCCGACAGGACCGAUGAAAAGACCAGCCCAGGUGUUGAAGGCAGAUCAUCUGAAUUCCAGCAGCUCGAAUCCGACAGGACUGAUGAAAAGACCAGCCCAUGUGUUGAAGGCAGAUCAUCUGAAUUCCAGCAGCUCAAAUCCGACAGGACUGAUGAAAAGACCAGCCCAGGUGUUGAAGGCAGAUCAUCUGAAUUCCAGCAGCUCAAAUCCGACAGGACUGAUGAAAAGACCAGCCCAGGUGUUGAAGGCAGAUCAUCUGAAUUCCAGCAGCUCGAAUCCGACAGGACUGAUGAAAAGACCAGCCCAGGUGUUGAAGGCAGAUCAUCUGAAUUCCAGCAGCUCAAAUCCGACAGGACUGAUGAAAAGACCAGCCCAGGUGUUGAAGGCAGAUCAUCUGAAUUCCAGCAGCUCAAAUCCGACAGGACUGAUGAAAAGACCAGCCCAGGUGUUGAAGGCAGAUCAUCUGAAUUCCAGCAGCUCAAAUCCGACAGGACUGAUGAAAAGACCAGCCCAGGUGUUGAAGGCAGAUCAUCUGAAUUCCAGCAGCUCAAAUCCGACAGGACUGAUGAAAAGACCAGCCCAGGUGUUGAAGGCAGAUCAUCUGAAUUCCAGCAGCUCAAAUCCGGCAGGACCGAUGAAAAGACCAGCCCAGGUGUUGAAGGCAGAUCAUCUGAAUUCCAGCAGCUCGAAUCCGACAGGACCGAUGAAAAGACCAGCAGCAGAAAGGCGUUUCUCAGCAGCAAAUGGGAUUCGGAAGAUCACUCAGAAACUGAAGAGAAAAAGAUCAUCAGAGGAGGUUCAACGUAUUCAAGCAAAGAAGAAGGUGAAGCUAGCUCGGGAUCUGAUAGUGAAGGCGGUAACUCUAAAAGCAGCAAAAUGAGCACGAGAUUGGCUUGUCUGUCACCUGCAAAUUCAGAGACUGAUGUGAAAAAGACCUCAAAGAAACAGACUUCAAUUGCUGCUGAAAGUUCAGUUUUGAGUUCAGGAAGUGAGAAGGUAAUGCCCAAGAAGAAAGCAAAACGCAAACGCAAGCACAAGAAACGAAGCUCGACAAAGGCAGGGUACAGAAGAGGAAAGGCCAAAUCUAAGGGUAAGAAGUCCAAAAAAAAAAACCAGAAACCCAAAGAGACAUUCCACUGGCAGCCUCCUCUGGAAUUUGGGGAAGAGGAGGAGGAGGAGAAAAGGCCAGAAGAGAACGUGACUGUAAAACAGGUCGUGAAGGAAGGUCUGUUAAAACUUAUUGGGGAGACUGCUGUUAAACACAAAGAAAGUAAAAGCAGUGCUGAGGAAACUCACAAGACACCCAAAGAAAACUUCCAGUCGGGUGCAGCUUCUCAGAGGGCUCAAGAACAGUCAACCAAAAAUGAACAAGAAUCGAAGCAAUCGCCAACGAAUGUCAAGAGUCCAAGACGAGGUGAAAGUACAGAAGCAGAAUUCAGCGAAACUGAUGGUAAAGAACUAGCUGAGGAGUUCCCAGAGAAAACAGAGCAAUCUGAUGAUAGUAUGGAGAUCUGUACCCCAGAGCAGAACACACCUGAAAGGGACUAUGCAAAAACUACACCGCAACAGGGCUCCCCAUUAAAAGAGCAUGUCCGUCCUGCAAACAGAGACACCGAGAAUGCUUUAAACACAACUGUAGUAGAAGCAUUAAAGAUGGAGCCACAUCCGAUGAAUAGCAGAGCCUCUUCUAACGUGUUGAUAAGCAACGAUUCAGGGGAUGAAAAUGAUAAAGCACAAAAUGAAUUGCAGUGUUUAUCUAUUGACCCAAAGUGGAAGCCUCUGAAAGAUCUUUCUAAUCAGCAGCCAGUCAGCACCAUGAAUGCUGUAGAAGGUAAAAGCACAGACGCCUCAGGUUGUGUGGAGACCAAGCCCCAGGGCCUCCGAAUAGAGAUUAAAAGCAAGAGUCGGGUCCGACCUGGAUCUCUUUUUGAUGAAGUUCGAAAGACAGCCAUGAAUCAAAGACAGAGGAACAAAGAGAGCUCAAGUGAGGAGAGAUCUCCUUCCGUAGAGGAUAAAAGCAAGUCCCGGAGCCGAACCAGAUCACCCAGUAAAUCUGGAUCGAGCCAGCGAACACGCUCAAGAACGAGAUCACUGUCCUCCAGCCGCUCGCGCACUCGAUCAAGGAGUUCCACUUAUUCCUACAGGUCUAGAAGCUACACUAGAAGUCGCAGCAGGAGGAGGUACAGUCGGGGUCGAUCAAGGACUCGGAGCAGCACUGACCGGAGUUACAGAAGACACAGCCAUAGCAGUAGGACCUACAGUAGAAGUCGGUCCAGGAGCAGGUCUUCUGAUCGGCGCAGAAGAUCCAGGUCCGUCACAUAUGACAGCUACUACAACAGAAGUAGGAGUCGAAGCAGCAGGAGACGAAGAAGUGACAGCUACC